GCCCAGACUCCUACGGGAGGCAGCAGUGGGGAAUAUUGGGCAAUGGGCGCAAGCCUGACCCAGCAAUGCCGCGUGAAGGAAGGAGGCUUUCGGGUUGUAAACUUCUUUGACAGGGGAAGAGCAGAAGACGGUACCCUGAAAACAAGCCACGGCUAACUACGUGCCAGCAGCCGCGGUAAUACGUAGGUGGCAAGCGUUGUCCGGAUUUACUGGGUGUAAAGGGCGUGCAGCCGGGCUGACAAGUCAGAUGUGAAAUCCCGCGGCUCAACCGCGGAACUGCAUUUGAAACUGUCAGUCUUGAGUACCGGAGAGGUCAUCGGAAUUCCUUGUGUAGCGGUGAAAUGCGUAGAUAUAAGGAAGAACACCAGUGGCGAAGGCGGAUGACUGGACGGCAACUGACGGUGAGGCGCGAAAGCGUGGGGAGCAAACAGGAUUAGAUACCCUAGUAG
rnacentral:rRNA from 1 species